rnacentral:rRNA from 1 species
GACGAACGCUGGCGGCGUGCUUAACACAUGCAAGUCGAACGGAAAGGCCCUGCUUGCAGGGUACUCGAGUGGCGAACGGGUGAGUAACACGUGGGUGAUCUGCCCUGCACUUCGGGAUAAGCCUGGGAAACUGGGUCUAAUACCGGAUAGGAGCCAUUUUUAGUGUGAUGGUUGGAAAGUUUUUUCGGUGUAGGAUGAGCUCGCGGCCUAUCAGCUUGUUGGUGGGGUAAUGGCCUACCAAGGCGGCGACGGGUAGCCGGCCUGUGAGGGUGGACGGCCACAUUGGGACUGAGAUGCGGCCCAGACUCCUACGGUAGGCAGCAGUGGGGAAUAUUGCACAAUGGGCGCCAGCCUGAUGCAGCGACGCCGCGUGUGGGAUGACGGCCUUCGGGUUGUAAACUCCUUUCGCUAGGGACGAAGCUUUUUGUGACGGUACCUAGAUAAGAAGCACCGGCUAACUACGUG